GGUGUUUCGAGGAUUACCGAUUGAUUGAAUUUUGGGGUUGUUAAAGAAAGUCUUUCGAGGGGAGAUGAUCGCGAUGAGAGGCUGCAUUUAUUCAUACGUCCCCGACAACUGGACGCGUCGACAGGAGAAAAUAUCGGAUCGAAGAAUGCCCGGUUAAGUAAGAAGACAUGGAAGAAGACCAAGCCACGGAACGCGGAAAAUGGGAGGAAGGGAACAGGAGUAACAAAUCGUAAUGACAGGGGGUGGGGCUUUUUCCAGCCGUGCACGAGGAUACGGUCACUGGGAAAAUCUUCCCAUGGCGGUGAGAAACGGUGAUCGGAGCCACGUCGUGUUAGCUCGUCGACUUCUCGACCGUGCUCGAUCUAUCUAAUUCCUGAUCGGUCUGGACGAACCAGAGGUUCGAUGUCCAUUACGAGGAGACGUGCCAGAAGGGAAACGCUGGUUUCCACGAAGACGUCUUCGUUUUCACGUUUCCAUGAUUUCACGGGGAGUUCAUAUUCGUCGCGAUAACGCGAGCCACGAUUACAGGGUUA